ACUCUAUUAAAACACCUAUUAUAGAGGCGCGGGCCUCAGUUACGGUGACCUGCAAGCAGGCAGAAAUAGCCUUUUUCAUCUUCGUAUGCUCAUUACAUAAUAUAUGGAUUGAAAAUAUGGAUUUUAUUUUAAACAAACGAUUGGGAAGCGAAUCGGGUUACGAUGAUCUAAAAUCAUGUCAACGAGAGGCAAGGAUCUCUGGCAUAUCAUCAUUUAUUAUUGCUAAAUUGGCCUUGUGCUUGUACACAUUCCAGGGAGUAUGGCCACAUAUGCUGUGUUGAAGGUCACAAAAAUACUCAAAAAGGAACCUAAGUACAUUCCACUGAUUUGCCUUGGUUUUGGUGCAUGUUGUGGUUAUGCCAAGUCAAUAGUGGUGAUGCAGUCUUAUCAAAAUAGGCUCUAUCAAUAUGAAGGAAAGCCCAAAGAACUACCGACAACUAACUUGAUUAAUGGUCAAAAAUCACUGUCAAAAUAUGGCGAUGAAGGAUUUUAUAAGUGAACUGGAGCUCAAAGAAUUUGGAAUCAAUUUUUAUGGAUGUUAAUCAUGUUAUGUUUAUAAAUAUUUAAAUACUGUAUGUGGAUUUUGUGAAUGAAAUCAAAUUGUAAAUAUUGUUUGAAAGAUGGUUAUGAUUGAACAUAUCCAAACCAGUGGAAUGAAACAUUAUUUUUUACAGAAAUAACAGAGGAUGAACAAAUAAUAUAAGAUUAUAUCUUCAACGACAAUCAUAUUGUCACGUAUUAUGUCUCCGUGCCAGUCCCCAGGUCUAACACCCAGAACUACUUAAGAUUUUCGCCAUAGAUUACGUUAAUUCAAGUCUUUAUAUCCUAUGCAUAUUUAAGUUCCUUGAUGAAAUAAAUGUCGUCUAAGAAAAUAA